ensembl:snRNA U6 U6 spliceosomal RNA
GUGCUCACUAUAGCAGUACAUGUACUAAAAUUACAAUGAUACCAAGAAGAUAGGUAUGGCCUCUGCAAAGGAAGAAAAGGAAAUUCCUGAAUAUAUAUAUAUAUAU